UUUGUUGUUCGCUGUUCGCGGGAAUGGUUUAAGGCAAAAAGAAAAUGGGCAAUUAUAAAAAUGUGUGGGAGGAAAAUUAGGAUUAAAAAAAUUUUUUUGAAGAAUUAAAUUUUUUAAAAAAAAUAAAGCUUAUAAUAAUAAACUUUAAUCUUUUUUUAAAUUUAAAGUUUAUUAUUAUAAGCUUUAUUUUUUUAAAAAAUUUACUGUUAUUAUUAUAUUAAGCUUUAUUAUCAGUUUAUUUUAAAGCAGCUUUAUUCUAAAUCUGAUAAUAAUCAUAAGCUUUAUAAUCCUAAUUUUUCUCCAGCUGCAAUAUUUAUUUGGCUCCAGACAAUUGUCAGGAAUUGCCAUUGAUAACUUUUGUGAAAGUGCCGCUGAUAAAUUGUAAAUAAUUUAGAUAUCUUUUGCAAAGGAAAUUAAAUAUAUAAUAAGCUGUCAUUAAUUUUUAAUUUCAGAUUAUUUUCGAGAUUUUAUUCCAAAAUUAUCAAUAUAAUCAAUAUUAAUGACAGCUUAAUUACCCGCAGACUGGGUAAUUCCAGCUCUGCUAACUACCUAAAUAAAAGAUAUCUGGUUGAUCCUGCCUGAACUGAUGUGUUCAUUUCAAAGAUUAAGCCAUGUAUGUAUAAGUUUAAUCGUUUUAACGAGAAACCGCGAACGGCUCAUUACAAUGGCCAUGAUUUACUUGAUCUUGAUUAUCUAAAUGGAUAACUGUGGAAAAGCUAGAGCUAAUACAUGCACCAAAGCUUUGUCCUCACGGAAAAGCGCAUUUAUUAGAACAAAACCACGCGGCUUCGGCUGCUUCUUGUUGACUCAGAAUAACUAAGCUGACCGCAUGGCCUUGUGCCGGCGGCGUGUCUUUCAAGCGUCCACUUUAUCAACUUGACGGGAGCAUAAUCGACUCCCGUGGUGGUGACGGAUAACGGAGGAUCAGGGUUCGACUCCGGAGAAGGGGCCUGAGAAAUGGCCACUACGUCUAAGGAUGGCAGCAGGCGCGCAAAUUACCCACUCUCGGCUCGAGGAGGUAGUGACGAGAAAUAACGAGACUGUUCUCUUUGAGGCCGGUCAUCGGAAUGGGUACAAUUUAAACCCUUUAACGAGUAUCAAGCAGAGGGCAAGUCUGGUGCCAGCAGCGGUAAUUCCAGCUCUGCUAAUACAUAGAAUUAUUGCUGCGGUUAAAAAGCUCGUAGUUGGAUUCGUAUCGGUACCUUGGAACCCUUCGGGUGUUUCUGGGUGUUAUCGAUUUAUCGUAAUGUUCGGUUUUGAGUCCUUAACAGGAUUCUUAACAGUCAUUGCAAGUUUACUUUGAACAAAUCAGAGUGCUUCAAACAGGCGUUUUCGCUUGAAUGAUCGUGCAUGGAAUAAUAGAAAACGAUUUCGGUUCAGUUUUAUUGGUUUUACGGACUGAGAUAAUGGUUAACAGAGACAAACGGGGGCAUUUGUAUGGCCCCGUGAGAGGUGAAAUUCUUGGACCGUGGCCAGACAAACUACAGCGAAAGCAUUUGCCAAGAAUGUCUUCAUUAAUCAAGAACGAAAGUCAGAGGUUCGAAGGCGAUCAGAUACCGCCCUAGUUCUGACCGUAAACGAUGCCAACUAGCGAUCCGCUGAUGGAAAUUAUAUUGCCUUGGUGGGGAGCUUCCCGGAAACGAAAGUCUUCCGGUUCCGGGGGAAGUAUGGUUGCAAAGCUGAAACUUAAAGGAAUUGACGGAAGGGCACCACCAGGAGUGGAGCCUGCGGCUUAAUUUGACUCAACACGGGGAAACUCACCCGGCCCGGACACUGUGAGGAUUGACAGAUUGAUAGCUUUUUCAUGAUUCAGUGGAUGGUGGUGCAUGGCCGUUCUUAGUUCGUGGAGUGAUUUGUCUGGUUUAUUCCGAUAACGAGCGAGACUCUAACCUACUAAAUAGCUGAUACAUAAUCUUUGUGUAUACAGCUUCUUAGAGGGAUUUGCGGCGUUCAGCCGAAAGAAAUUGAGCAAUAACAGGUCUGUGAUGCCCUUAGAUGUCCCUGAAAAUGGAUGGCGCUGGAGCGGGCCACCUAUACUCUGCCGUCAUAUGCUUGUAUUUUCCGUGAAAAGUCUUGCAAUGACGUGUAAGAGGGUCGUAGUGGUUGCAAUGAAGGCUUUGGGUGUGCACCCAGCUGGAGCUUCCACUAGUGCAGAUCUUGGUGGUAGUAGCAAAUAUUCAAGUGAGAUCCUUGAAGACUGAAGUGGAGAAGGGUUCCACGUGAACAGUAGUUGAAUGUGGGUCAGUCGAUCCUAAGGCACCGGCUAAAGCCGUCUAGACACUGCGGGGAGAUGAGAUACUUAACGGUAUAUUGUCUACUCGGUUGCCGAAAGGGAAGUGGGUUAAUAUUCCCACACCAGGCAUGGGAGAUGGUGAUCCGCAAGGAUUACUUUGCGCGGUGACGCAAACGGUCUCGUAGACCUCGUGUGGAGUCCGGGCCAGAGUUCUCUUUUCUGGUUUAGAGAUCAUGUCCCUGGAAGUGGCUCAGCCUGAGAUAGGGA